rnacentral:rRNA from 1 species
AGAGUUUGAUCCUGGCUCAGAGCGAACGCUGGCGGCGUGCUUAACACAUGCAAGUCGAGUGCGCGCCUGUAGCAAUACAGGUGGCGCACGGCGCACGGGUGCGUAACACGUGGGUAAUCUGCCCUUCGAUGGGGGAAUAACUCCGGGAAACCGAAGCUAAUUCCGCAUAACAUUCCUUGGACCUCGGUUCGGGGAUUCAAAGCCGUAAGGCGUCGGAGGAGGAACCCGCGCACGAUUAGCUAGUUGGUAGGGUAACGGCCUACCAAGGCUUUGAUCGUUAGCUGGUCUGAGAGGAUGGCCAGCCACACUGGAACUGAGACACGGUCCAGACUCCUACGGGAGGCAGCAGUGGGGAAUCUUGCACAAUGGGCGAAAGCCUGAUGCAGCGACGCCGCGUGGGGGAUGAAGCUUCUCGGAGUGUAAACCCCUUUCGACCCGGACGAAUGCCCCGCAAGGGGACUGACGGUACGGGUAUAAGAAGCCCCGGCUAACUACGUGCCAGCAGCCGCGGUAAGACGUGGGGGGCCAGCGUUGCUCGGAAUUACUGGGUGUAAAGGGUUCGUAGGCGGUGUGGCAAGUCGGGAGUGAAAUCUCUGGGCUUAACUCAGAGACUGCUUCCGAAACUGCUGUGCUUGAGUGUGGGAGAGGCGCGUGGAAUUGCAGGUGUAGCGGUGAAAUGCGUAGAUAUCUGCAGGAACACCCGUGGCGAAAGCGGCGCGCUGGACCACUACUGACGCUGAGGAACGAAAGCUAGGGGAGCAAACAGGAUUAGAUACCCCGGUAGUCC